UACAGAGGGUGCAAGCGUUUAAUCGGAAUUACUGGGCGUAAAGCGCGCGUAGGCGGUUUGUUAAGUCGGAUGUGAAAUCCCUGGGCUCAACCUAGGCAUUGCAUCCGAUACUGGCUAACUAGAGUGUGGGAGAGGAAGGUAGAAUUCCAGGUGUAGCGGUGAAAUGCGUAGAGAUCUGGAGGAAUACCGAUGGCGAAGGCAGCCUUCUGGCCUAACACUGACGCUGAGGUGCGAAAGCAUGGGGAGCAAACAGG
rnacentral:rRNA from 1 species